UUAGUGUGAAUAUUGUUGUUGUUUGAGAGUGUUGUGAUUUGUGAAGUUAACAGAUGAAAAAAAAAAUGAAGAAAUGAUGAUCUUUGACAGUGUUGUGAAACGAGAACAAGAAGGAGAAUGUGUGAGAGACAGGGUUGGUCACUAACCAACUAAUCGUGCGACCAAUGUUGUUGUAAUCCCAAAUGAAAAACAGACAAACCAUGUUAGUCGUACGGAUCCUUAAUUGUAUCGAAAUUUUAC
rnacentral:lncRNA from 1 species